AAGGAGCUUGCUCCUUUGAAGUUAGCGGCGGACGGGUGAGUAACACGUGGGUAACCUACCUAUAAGACUGGGAUAACUUCGGGAAACCGGAGCUAAUACCGGAUAACAUUUAGAACCGCAUGGUUCUAAAGUGAAAGAUGGUUUUGCUAUCACUUAUAGAUGGACCCGCGCCGUAUUAGCUAGUUGGUAAGGUAACGGCUUACCAAGGCGACGAUACGUAGCCGACCUGAGAGGGUGAUCGGCCACACUGGAACUGAGACACGGUCCAGACUCCUACGGGAGGCAGCAGUAGGGAAUCUUCCGCAAUGGGCGAAAGCCUGACGGA
rnacentral:rRNA from 1 species